UCUACGGGUGGCAGCAGUGGGGGAUAUUGCACAAUGGGGGGAACCCUGAUGCAGCGACGCCGCGUGGGUGAAGAAGCGCCUCGGCGCGUAAAGCCCUGUCAGCAGGGAAGAAAAUGACGGUACCUGAAGAAGAAGCCCCGGCUAACUACGUGCCAGCAGCCGCGGUACUACGGAGGGGGCAAGCGUUAUCCGGAUUUACUGGGUGUAAAGGGGGCGCAGACGGCGAUGCACGACAGGAGUGAAAGCCCGGGGCUCAACCCUGGGACUGCUCUGGACACGGUACAGCUGGAGUGCGGGAGGGGCAGGCGGAAUUCCUGGUGUAGCGGUGAAAUGCGUAGAUAUCAGGAGGAACACCGGCGGCGAAGGCGGCCUGCUGGACCGUAACUGACGUUGAGGCUCGAAAGCGUGGGGAGCAAACAGGAUUAGAUACCCGGGUAGUC
rnacentral:rRNA from 1 species